UACGGAGGGAGCUAGCGUUGUUCGGAAUUACUGGGCGUAAAGCGCACGUAGGCGGACUUUCAAGUCAGGGGUGAAAUCCCGGGGGCUCAACCUCGGAAUUGCCUUUGAUACUGUAGGUCUCGAGUCCGGAAGAGGUGGGUGGAAUUCCUAGUGUAGAGGUGAAAUUCGUAGAUAUUAGGAAGAACACGGUGGCGAAGGCGGCCCACUGGUCCGGUACUGACGGCUGAGGUGCGAAAGC
rnacentral:rRNA from 1 species